UAUGGCUCAGAUUGAACGCUAGCGGGAUGCCUUACACAUGCAAGUCGAACGGCAGCACGGACUUCGGUCUGGUGGCGAGUGGCGAACGGGUGAGUAAUGUAUCGGAACGUGCCUAGUAGCGGGGGAUAACUACGCGAAAGCGUAGCUAAUACCGCAUACGCCCUACGGGGGAAAGCAGGGGAUCGCAAGACCUUGCACUAUUAGAGCGGCCGAUAUCGGAUUAGCUAGUUGGUGGGGUAACGGCUCACCAAGGCGACGAUCCGUAGCUGGUUUGAGAGGACGACCAGCCACACUGGGACUGAGACACGGCCCAGACUCCUACGGGAGGCAGCAGUGGGGAAUUUUGGACAAUGGGGGAAACCCUGAUCCAGCCAUCCCGCGUGUGCGAUGAAGGCCUUCGGGUUGUAAAGCACUUUUGGCAGGAAAGAAACGUCAUGGGUUAAUACCCCGUGAAACUGACGGUACCUGCAGAAUAAGCACCGGCUAACUACGUGCCAGCAGCCGCGGUAAUACGUAGGGUGCAAGCGUUAAUCGGAAUUACUGGGCGUAAAGCGUGCGCAGGCGGUUCGGAAAGAAAGAUGUGAAAUCCCAGAGCUUAACUUUGGAACUGCAUUUUUAACUACCGAGCUAGAGUGUGUCAGAGGGAGGUGGAAUUCCGCGUGUAGCAGUGAAAUGCGUAGAUAUGCGGAGGAACACCGAUGGCGAAGGCAGCCUCCUGGGAUAACACUGACGC
rnacentral:rRNA from 1 species